UGGAGAAGUUCACCUUUUGCUUGUGGGUAAACAGAUGCAUGUCACCAUGUGGAACGCUGAUGAAUCCUUUUCUUCAACAAUGACUGGUUCUUUGACUAGGGUUAGUUAGUUAAGAAGCAUGCUUACAAGAACCUAUGGUGUAUCUCACAAGAUGAUAGAACCCUUCGUAUGUUUUCAGAGUUCUUCCACCUUUAACCAAAUAGCAGCACCUGAAACAUUUAUAAUUGGAGGGUUUGUGCAAUGGAUCAUGAGACAGAGCCAAGAUAUACUCGAAACUAGUCAUGUCUAAUGUAGAUUUUGUUGUCUAACUAAGAGAAAUUGUAGCAGAUAGGUCCUUCAUCAUGGGCCAGUUUUGUUCUGAGCUCUUGUAUGUUGUCCCAUCAGAUAUAGCACUAUUACUCACUGUUUGUAAUUGUAGAUCCAGAAAGUAACAUGAUAAUUACUUUCUUUGGCUUAAAAAGUAAAUCAUUCAGUCUGAAUUUCUCAUGAGAACAAUUAUUUUGCUCAAAUCUGUGAACUAUUUAAAAAGAAUCUUGAGAUUCAUAUUUUCUA